UGAGGAAUAUUGGGCAAUGCCCGCAAGGGUGACCCAGCAACGCCGCGUGGAGGAUGAAUGUCGUAAGAUUGUAAACUCCUGUUAGAGGGGAAGAAUAGUACCGGUUGGACCGGUAUAUGACUGUACCCUCAGAGAAAGCCCCGGCUAACUACGUGCCAGCAGCCGCGGUAAUACGUAGGGGGCAAGCGUUGUCCGGAUUUACUGGGUGUAAAGGGCGCGCAGGCGGGAUAAAAAGUCAGUGGUGAAAUCCUACAGCUUAACUGAGAAACUGCCAUUGAUACUGCAGGCCUAGAGUAUCGAUGACGUUGGCGGAAUAUGACAUGUAGUGGUGAAAUACUUAGAUAUGUCAUAGAACACCGAUUGCGAAGGCAGCUAACGAAACUAUAACUGACGCUGAGGCACGAAAGUGCGGGG
rnacentral:rRNA from 1 species